AUUGAACGCUGGCGGCAUGCCUUACACAUGCAAGUCGAACGGCAGCACGGGUGCUUGCACCUGGUGGCGAGUGGCGAACGGGUGAGUAAUACAUCGGAACGUACCUUAUCGUGGGGGAUAACGCAGCGAAAGCUGUGCUAAUACCGCAUACGCCCUGAGGGGGAAAGCGGGGGAUCGCAAGACCUCGCGCGAUUAGAGCGGCCGAUGCCUGAUUAGCUAGUUGGUGGGGUAAAAGCCCACCAAGGCGACGAUCAGUAGCUGGUCUGAGAGGACGAUCAGCCACGCUGGGACUGAGACACGGCCCAGACUCCUACGGGAGGCAGCAGUGGGGAAUUUUGGACAAUGGGGGCAACCCUGAUCCAGCAAUGCCGCGUGAGUGAAGAAGGCCUUCGGGUUGUAAAGCUCUUUUGUCAGGGAAGAAACACCGGCUCUAACACAGUCCGGGAAUGACGGUACCUGAAGAAUAAGUACCGGCUAACUACGUGCCAGCAGCCGCGGUAA
rnacentral:rRNA from 1 species